rnacentral:rRNA from 1 species
GACGAACGCUGGCGGCGUGCUUAACACAUGCAAGUCGAACGGAAAGGCCCUGCUUUUGUGGGGUGCUCGAGUGGCGAACGGGUGAGUAACACGUGAGUAACCUGCCCUUGACUUUGGGAUAACUUCAGGAAACUGGGGCUAAUACCGGAUAGGAGCUCCUGCUGCAUGGUGGGGGUUGGAAAGUUUCGGCGGUUGGGGAUGGACUCGCGGCUUAUCAACUUGUUGGUGGGGUAGUGGCUUACCAAGGCUUUGACGGGUAGCCGGCCUGAGAGGGUGACCGGCCACAUUGGGACUGAGAUACGGCCCAGACUCCUACGGGAGGCAGCAGUGGGGAAUAUUGCACAAUGGGCGGAAGCCUGAUGCAGCAACGACGCGUGCGGGAUGACGGCCUUCGGGUUGUAAACCGCUUUCGCCUGUGACGAAGCGUGAGUGACGGUAAUGGGUAAAGAAGCACCGGCUAACUACGUG